UACGUAGGGUGCGAGCGUUGUCCGGAUUUAUUGGGCGUAAAGAGCUCGUAGGCGGUUUGUCGCGUCGGCCGUGAAAUCUCCACGCUUAACGUGGAGCGUGCGGUCGAUACGGGCAGACUUGAGUUCGGUAGGGGAGACUGGAAUUCCUGGUGUAGCGGUGAAAUGCGUAGAUAUCUGGAGGAACACCGGUGGCGAAGGCGGCAUCCUGGACCAACACUGACACUGAGGAGCGAAAGCCAGGGGAGCAAACGGG
rnacentral:rRNA from 1 species